rnacentral:rRNA from 1 species
GACGAACGCUGGCGGCGUGCCUAAUACAUGCAAGUUGAGCGCUGAAGGUUGGUACUUGUACCAACUGGAUGAGCAGCGAACGGGUGAGUAACGCGUGGGGAAUCUGCCUUUGAGCGGGGGACAACAUUUGGAAACGAAUGCUAAUACCGCAUAAAAACUUUAAACACAAGUUUUAAGUUUGAAAGAUGCAAUUGCAUCACUCAAAGAUGAUCCCGCGUUGUAUUAGCUAGUUGGUGAGGUAAAGGCUCACCAAGGCGAUGACACAUAGCCGACCUGAGAGGGUGAUCGGCCGCCUUGGGACUGAGACACGGCCCAAACUCCUACGGGAGGCAGCAGUAGAGCUUCUUCGGCAAUGGACGAAAGUCUGAGCGAGCAACGCCGCGUGAGUGAAGAAGGAUUUCGGAUCGUAAAACUCUGUUGGUAGAGAAGAACGUGGGUGAGAGUGGAAAGCUCAUCAAGUGACGGUAACUACCCAGAAAGGGACGGCUAACUACGUG